rnacentral:rRNA from 1 species
UACGAAGGGGGCUAGCGUUGCUCGGAAUCACUGGGCGUAAAGCGCACGUAGGCGGCUUUUUAAGUCAGGGGUGAAAUCCUGGAGCUCAACUCCAGAACUGCCUUUGAUACUGAGAAGCUUGAGUUCGGGAGAGGUGAGUGGAACUGCGAGUGUAGAGGUGAAAUUCGUAGAUAUUCGCAAGAACACCAGUGGCGAAGGCGGCUCACUGGCCCGAUACUGACGCUGAGGUGCGAAAGCGUGGGGAGCAACAGGAUUAAGAAACCCU